GGUGAACCUGCGGAAGGAUCAUUGUCGAAACCUGCAAAGCAGAACGACCCGCGAACAUGUUUAAUAAUCACGGGAGUUGGGCACUGAUGGUGCCUUGUGCGCCCAUCGCCCGAGCUAGGGAGAACUCACUUGUGAGCUGCUCCUUGCUAAACAAACGAACCCCGGCGCGAAAAGCGUCAAGGAAUACAAAUUCAAUGUGCCCAUCCCUGUCCGGUCAUUCGGCAUGGGUGUUGGUGCCAUGUUCUAACAAUAAACGACUCUCGGCAACGGAUAUCUCGGCUCUCGCAUCGAUGAAGAACGUAGCGAAAUGCGAUACUUGGUGUGAAUUGCAGAAUCCCGUGAACCAUCGAGUCUUUGAACGCAAGUUGCGCCCGAAGCCCUUGGCUGAGGGCACGUCUGCCUGGGCGUCACGCAUCGCGUCUCCCCCACAGGAGGGGAAGGAGGAUGGCUUCCCGUGCCUCACCGGGCGCGGUUGGCCUAAAAUUGAAGCCCACGGUAUCAAGUAGCCGCGGCGAUAGGUGGUGAACAAGGCUUUUGCCGUGUAAACAACCCGUUGCGGUGUGCGGCUUGUCGGACCCUAUUUGUUUCAAACCUUUGCGACCCCAGGUCAGGCGGGGCUA
rnacentral:rRNA from 1 species